UUUGUAUUCAUAAAAAAUGGCUCAAUUUAUGGCUCGCUCACUUCCAUUGUAACUUGUCUUUUUAAUUGCUCUCACAUCCUAUUCUUUUUGCACCGACUUAACUUUGUUAUUGCAUUGACAUAUAUAGUUGCUUGCGUCAUUUUCUAUUGAAUUCACAACACCGCUUUGCUCCUAUCAUAAUUGCCUCAUCGAGUGGAUAUACAACUCAGCCAAGUUCCAAAGAUGCAAGCUUAGGUUUUAAUUAUUUGUAAAAACGUGGUGUAGUGGCCUCCCUAAUUAACAUGGAGAUUCGCUUCAAAAUCAUCGAGAUGCUUUGUAGCAUCAAUGGAGAUGUUUGCCACUAUUGCAUUUGAAGCUUUCCUGAACCACUUAAGUAUUCAACUCCCAGUUGAUCCUGAUAAGAAGUUCAGGGAAAAAGAUACCAUCAUGAAUAUUUAGUAACUUGACUUCAAUAAAUCCUUUAUUUGCCAUUAAUUAAUCCAGUUAAUGCAUACAAUACAUCUUAGGUCCUCCUAUUUAGUACAGAACAUGAUGAAAAAAAAUCAGAUUUCGUAUACUGCAAGCUCAUGUAAGACCAGCUUAAUCACUUGUGAUAUAUAGAUCAAUUACCUGAGCCGCCGUCGACGACAAGGGGACGCUACUGACAUGGUCAGAACCCAUGAUUAUUAAUAAAUAAGCACCAAAGCUUGCUGAGUUAAGCCCGAGCCUGGGCCUCCAUACCGGCGGCCGCGCGCCGCGGACGACUCCGCUAGGCCAUUGCAUGUCCAACCCCUCGCAGUCUUCCUCACUCGGAAGCACUGAAUCGAACAGCAGCCCAAUCAAAUCAACACAUCUUGAGAUCGAGAGGGUAUUUUGAUACAGAGGCAAUAUGAAGAUCAAAAUCAGAGCAAAUGCAGAGGAACUGGAAGCACACAAUGUAACCAAAAAUACUGAAAGACAAGCAAGCUUUACCAAAAAUAGGGCUGCUCUUUUACCUGCCCACAAAAGGAUGCCAUUUUGUUCAAUAUAAUUGGUGAUGUCUGUCAGUAGGAUCUCAUGUUUGAUCUACAUUUUUUUAUUCACUGAAUUUGUAGAACACUUGCGAGUAAGUACCUAGCAAAAUAAACAUUUUCUACCUCAAAUUUGUAGAUCAAUAUCCAUG
rnacentral:lncRNA from 1 species